rnacentral:lncRNA from 1 species
GAUGAAAUUAUACCAGUGGAGUCCGAAAAUGAGGAUGUUUUGGAUAUUAUGAACGUAGCGGGUGAUGAUACGUUAGUUGGAGAUGGUGUGAUUGUGCCGGAGCCGGGUAUAAAAUUUAAAGAUGAAAAUGAAAUAUUCGAUUUGUACAAAAAAUAUGCAUACGAAAUUGGUUUCCCGGUUAGGAAAAGAAAUUCGGUAAAGGAUGAGGACGGAG